rnacentral:rRNA from 1 species
UACGUAGGGUGCAAGCGUUAAUCGGAAUUACUGGGCGUAAAGCGUGCGCAGGCGGCUUUGCAAGACAGAUGUGAAAUCCCCGGGCUCAACCUGGGAACUGCAUUUGUGACUGCAUGGCUGGAGUGCGGCAGAGGGGGAUGGAAUUCCGCGUGUAGCAGUGAAAUGCGUAGAGAUCGGCAGGAACACCCAGGGGGAAACCAGCCGACUGGGCAUCUGCUGACGCUGAUGUGCGAGAGCGUGGGGAGCGAACCGG